GGGUUGUGAGGUUAAGCGACUAAGCGUACACGGUGGAUGCCCUGGCAGUCAGAGGCGAUGAAGGACGUGCUAAUCUGCGAAAAGCGCCGGCGAGGUGAUAUGAACCCUUGACCCGGCGAUGUCCGAAUGGGGAAACCCAGUGCAAUCCGUUGCACUAUCGUUAACUGAAUACAUAGGUUAACGAGGCGAACCGGGGGAACUGAAACAUCUAAGUACCCCGAGGAAAAGAAAUCAACCGAGAUUCCCCCAGUAGCGGCGAGCGAACGGGGAGCAGCCCGGAGUCUGAAUCAGCUUGUGUGUUAGUGGAACGGUCUGGAAAGUCCGACGGUACAGGGUGAUAGUCCCGUACACGAAAGCACACAUGCUGUGAACUCGAAGAGUAGGGCGGGACACGUGGUAUCCUGUCUGAAUAUGGGGGGACCAUCCUCCAAGGCUAAAUACUCCUGACUGACCGAUAGUGAACCAGUACCGUGAGGGAAAGGCGAAAAGAACCCCGGCGAGGGGAGUGAAAAAGAACCUGAAACCGUGUACGUACAAGCAGUGGGAGCCUCUUUAUGGGGUGACUGCGUACCUUUUGUAUAAUGGGUCAGCGACUUAUAUUCUGUAGCAAGGUUAACCGUAUAGGGGAGCCGAAGGGAAACCGAGUCUUAACUGGGCGUUAAGUUGCAGGGUAUAGACCCGAAACCCGGUGAUCUAGCCAUGGGCAGGUUGAAGGUUGGGUAACACUAACUGGAGGACCGAACCGACUAAUGUUGAAAAAUUAGCGGAUGACCUGUGGCUGGGGGUGAAAGGCCAAUCAAACCGGGAGAUAGCUGGUUCUCCCCGAAAGCUAUUUAGGUAGCGCCUCGUGAACUCAUCUUCGGGGGUAGAGCACUGUUUCGGCUAGGGGGCCAUCCCGGCUUACCAACCCGAUGCAAACUACGAAUACCGAAGAAUGUUAUCACGGGAGACACACGGCGGGUGCUAACGUCCGUCGUGAAGAGGGAAACAACCCAGACCGCCAGCUAAGGUCCCAAAGUCAUGGUUAAGUGGGAAACGAUGUGGGAAGGCACAGACAGCCAGGAUGUUGGCUUAGAAGCAGCCAUCAUUUAAAGAAAGCGUAAUAGCUCACUGGUCGAGUCGGCCUGCGCGGAAGAUGUAACGGGGCUAAACCAUGCACCGAAGCUGCGGCAGCGACGCUUAUGCGUUGUUGGGUAGGGGAGCGUUCUGUAAGCCGUUGAAGGUGUGCUGUGAGGCAUGCUGGAGGUAUCAGAAGUGCGAAUGCUGACAUAAGUAACGAUAAAGCGGGUGAAAAGCCCGCUCGCCGGAAGACCAAGGGUUCCUGUCCAACGUUAAUCGGGGCAGGGUGAGUCGACCCCUAAGGCGAGGCCGAAAGGCGUAGUCGAUGGGAAACAGGUUAAUAUUCCUGUACUUGGUGUUACUGCGAAGGGGGGACGGAGAAGGCUAUGUCAGCCGGGCGACGGUUGUCCCGGUUUAAGCAUGUAGGCGGAGGUUCCAGGUAAAUCCGGUACCUUAUUAACGCUGAGGUGUGAUGACGAGGCACUACGGUGCUGAAGUGAUAAAUGCCCUGCUUCCAGGAAAAGCCUCUAAGCAUCAGGUAACACGAAAUCGUACCCCAAACCGACACAGGUGGUCAGGUAGAGAAUACCAAGGCGCUUGAGAGAACUCGGGUGAAGGAACUAGGCAAAAUGGUGCCGUAACUUCGGGAGAAGGCACGCUGAUGUGUAGGUGAAGCCCCUGCGGGUGGAGCUGAAAUCAGUCGAAGAUACCAGCUGGCUGCAACUGUUUAUUAAAAACACAGCACUGUGCAAACACGAAAGUGGACGUAUACGGUGUGACGCCUGCCCGGUGCCGGAAGGUUAAUUGAUGGGGUUAGCGGCAACGCGAAGCUCUUGAUCGAAGCCCCGGUAAACGGCGGCCGUAACUAUAACGGUCCUAAGGUAGCGAAAUUCCUUGUCGGGUAAGUUCCGACCUGCACGAAUGGCGUAAUGAUGGCCAGGCUGUCUCCACCCGAGACUCAGUGAAAUUGAACUCGCUGUGAAGAUGCAGUGUACCCGCGGCAAGACGGAAAGACCCCGUGAACCUUUACUAUAGCUUGACACUGAACACUGGUCCUUGAUGUGUAGGAUAGGUGGGAGGCUUUGAAGCGUGGACGCCAGUCUGCGUGGAGCCAACCUUGAAAUACCACCCUUUAAUGGCUGGUGUUCUAACGUAGACCCGUAAUCCGGGUUGCGGACAGUGUCUGGUGGGUAGUUUGACUGGGGCGGUCUCCUCCCAAAGAGUAACGGAGGAGCACGAAGGUUGGCUAAUCCUGGUCGGACAUCAGGAGGUUAGUGCAAUGGCAUAAGCCAGCUUGACUGCGAGCGUGACGGCGCGAGCAGGUGCGAAAGCAGGUCAUAGUGAUCCGGUGGUUCUGAAUGGAAGGGCCAUCGCUCAACGGAUAAAAGGUACUCCGGGGAUAACAGGCUGAUACCGCCCAAGAGUUCAUAUCGACGGCGGUGUUUGGCACCUCGAUGUCGGCUCAUCACAUCCUGGGGCUGAAGUAGGUCCCAAGGGUAUGGCUGUUCGCCAUUUAAAGUGGUACGCGAGCUGGGUUUAGAACGUCGUGAGACAGUUCGGUCCCUAUCUGCCGUGGGCGCUGGAGAAUUGAGGGGGGCUGCUCCUAGUACGAGAGGACCGGAGUGGACGCAUCACUGGUGUUCGGGUUGUCAUGCCAAUGGCACUGCCCGGUAGCUAAAUGCGGAAGAGAUAAGUGCUGAAAGCAUCUAAGCACGAAACUUGCCCCGAGAUGAGUUCUCCCUGAGACUUUAAGUCUCCUGAAGGAACGUUGAAGACGACGACGUUGAUAGGUCGGGUGUGUAAGCGCAGCGAUGCGUUGAGCUAACCGAUACUAAUGAACCGUGAGGCUUAACCUUACAACGCCGAAGGUGUUU
rnacentral:rRNA from 2 species